rnacentral:rRNA from 1 species
CUGGCUCAGGAUGAACGCUGGCGGCGUGCUUAAUACAUGCAAGUCGAACGAAGCGCUUACAGCCGAUCCCUUCGGGGUGAAGCAGUUUGUGACUUAGUGGCGGACGGGUGAGUAACGCGUGGGUAACCUGCCUCAUGCAGGGGGAUAACAGUUAGAAAUGACUGCUAAUGCCGCAUAAGCGCACGGCACCGCAUGGUGGAGUGUGAAAAGAUUUAUCGGCAUGAGAUGGACCCGCGUCUGAUUAGGUAGUUGGUGGGGUAACGGCCUACCAAGCCGACGAUCAGUAGCCGACUUGAGAGAGUGAUCGGCCACAUUGGGACUGAGACACGGCCCAGACUCCUACGGGAGGCAGCAGUAGGGAAUAUUGCACAAUGGGGGAAACCCUGAUGCAAGCGACGCCGCGUGAGUGAAGAAGUAUUUCGGUACGUAAAGCUCUAUCAGCAGGGAAGAUAAUGACGGUACCUGACUAAGAAGCCCCGGCUAACUACGUGCCAGCCGCUGC